AGAACGAACGCUGGCGGCAGGCUUAACACAUGCAAGUCGAGCGCCGUAGCAAUACGGAGCGGCAGACGGGUGAGUAACGCGUGGGAACAUACCCUCCGGUUCGGAAUAACUCAGGGAAACUUGAGCUAAUACCGGAUACGGCAUUCAAGAGAAAUCUUGGCGGCGAAAGAUUUAUCGCCGAGGGAUCGGCCCGCGUCCGAUUAGCUAGUUGGUGUGGUAAUGGCGCACCAAGGCGACGAUCGGUAGCUGGUCUGAGAGGAUGAUCAGCCACAUUGGGACUGAGACACGGCCCAAACUCCUACGGGAGGCAGCAGUGGGGAAUAUUGGACAAUGGGCGCAAGCCUGAUCCAGCCAUGCCGCGUGAGUGAUGAAGGCCUUAGGGUUGUAAAGCUCUUUCGCCCACGACGAUAAUGACGGUAGUGGGAGAAGAAGCCCCGGCUAACUUCGUGCCAGCAGCCGCGGU
rnacentral:rRNA from 1 species